GGAAAGAGAGGGAUUCGACCCC
rnacentral:tRNA from 1 species